rnacentral:lncRNA from 1 species
AAUUUCAACCAUUGUAAGACUCUAUUGUGAGUGUAUCGAUGGCUGAGUGAGUGAUGCCUCCCAGGUUGCAGAAACACAAAUUGCAGCUUUUCCUUAAGGUGUCUGAUCUAUCCUCUCAAGAAGGCAAUUUCUUUUUUAAUUUCCUCUGAUGAGACUCAGAAGAUGAUGGAUAAAAUAUGAGGUGAGCUCUUUUAUUUAUUUAUUUUCAAGGCAGUCUUCUGUGUGAAACACAUCAUGUUUUGUUUCUUUGCUGCCAUGGAAAGUGCUCAAGUCUUGAAGUGUUCUUGAUGGAAGUGUUGUCACUAAGCAGGGUAAAGCAAAG